rnacentral:rRNA from 1 species
GCUUGCUCCCUGGGUGACGAGCGGCGGACGGGUGAGUAAUGUCUGGGAAACUGCCUGAUGGAGGGGGAUAACUACUGGAAACGGUAGCUAAUACCGCAUAACGUCGCAAGACCAAAGAGGGGGACCUUCGGGCCUCUUGCCAUCAGAUGUGCCCAGAUGGGAUUAGCUAGUAGGUGGGGUAAUGGCUCACCUAGGCGACGAUCCCUAGCUGGUCUGAGAGGAUGACCAGCCACACUGGAACUGAGACACGGUCCAGACUCCUACGGGAGGCAGCAGUGGGGAAUAUUGCACAAUGGGCGCAAGCCUGAUGCAGCCAUGCCGCGUGUGUGAAGAAGGCCUUCGGGUUGUAAAGCACUUUCAGCGAGGAGGAAGGUGGUGAGCUUAAUACGYUCAUCAAUUGACGUUACUCGCAGAAGAAGCACCGGCUAACUCCGUGCCAGCAGCCGCGGUAAUACGGAGGGUGCAAGCGU